CUGGAUAGGAAGAUAAAAGGCAUCUUUUAUCUUUUUAAAGACCUAGUAAUAGGUAUGCUUUAGGAGGGGCUUGCGCCAUAUUAGUUAGUUGGUAGGGUAAUGGCCUACCAAGACGAUGAUGUGUAGCUGGACUGAGAGGUUGAACAGCCACAUUGGGACUGAGACACGGCCCAAACUCCUACGGGAGGCAGCAGUAGGGAAUUUUCGGCAAUGGAGGAAACUCUGACCGAGCAACGCCGCGUGAAUGACGAAGUACUUCGGUAUGUAAAGUUCUUUUAUCAAGGAAGAAAAGCAAAUGGCGAACCAUUUGUUUGCCGGUACUUGAUGAAUAAGCCCCGGCUAAUUAUGUGCCAGCAGCCGCGGUAAGACAUAAGGGGCAAGUGUUAUCCGGAAUUAUUGGGCGUAAAGGGUGCGUAGGCGGUCUAGUAAGUCAGUGGUGUAAUGGCAACGCUUAACGUUGUCCGGCUAUUGAAACUGCUAAACUUGAGUUAGAUAGAGGCGAGUGGAAUUCCAUGUGUAGCGGUAAAAUGCGUAAAUAUAUGGAGGAACACCAGAGGCGUAGGCGGCUCGCUGGGUCUUAACUGACGCUGAGGCACGAAAGCGUGGGGAGCAAACAGGAUUAGAUACCCUGGUAGUCCACGCCGUAAACGAUGAGUACUAAGUGUCGGGUUAAACCGGUACUGAAGUUAACACAUUAAGUACUCCGCCUGAGUAGUACGUACGCAAGUAUGAAACUUAAAGGAAUUGACGGGACUCCGCACAAGCGGUGGAUCAUGUUGUUUAAUUCGAAGAUACCCGAAAAACCUUACCAGGUCUUGACAUGUUUUUUGCAAAAUGAUAGUAAUAUCGUGGAGGUUACCAGAAACACAGGUGGUGCAUGGUUGUCGUCAGCUCGUGUCGUGAGAUGUUAGGUUAAGUCCUAAAACGAGCGAAACCCUUAUCGUUAGUUGCCAGCACGUUAUGGUGGGGACUUUAACGAGACUGCCAAUGAUAAAUUGGAGGAAGGUGAGGAUCACGUCAAAUCAGCAUGCCCCUUAUGACCUGGGCUACAAACGUGAUACAAUGGCUGUUACAAAGGGUAGCUGAAACGCAAGUUCUUGGCCAAUCCCCAAAAACAGUCCCAGUCCGGAUUGAAGUCUGCAACUCGACUUCAUGAAGUUGGAAUCGCUAGUAAUCGCGAAUCAGCAUGUCGCGGUGAAUACGUUCUCGGGGUUUGUACACACCGCCCGUCAAACCACGAAAGUUGGCU
rnacentral:rRNA from 1 species